UACGUAGGGGGCUAGCGUUGUCCGGAAUCAUUGGGCGUAAAGCGCGCGUAGGCGGCCCGGUCAGUCCGUCGUGAAAGUCAAAGGCUCAACCUUUGAAUGUCGAUGGAUACUGCCGGGCUAGAGUCCGGAAGAGGCGAGUGGAAUUCCUGGUGUAGCGGUGAAAUGCGCAGAUAUCAGGAAGAACACCCGUGGCUAAGGCGGCUCUCUAGUACGGUACUGACGCUGAGACGCGAAAGCGUGGGGAGCGAACAGG
rnacentral:rRNA from 1 species